AUACAGGCUGAUACGCCCAAGAGUUCAUAUCGACGGCGGUGUUUGGCACCUCGAUGUCGGCUCAUCACAUCCUGGGGCUGAAGUAGGUCCCAAGGGUAUGGCUGUUCGCCAUUUAAAGUGGUACGCGAGCUGGGUUUAGAACGUCGUGAGACAGUUCGGUCCCUAUCUGCCGUGGGCGCUGGAGAACUAGGGGGGCUGCUCCUAGUACGAGAGGACCGGAGUGGACGCAUCACUGGUGUUCGGGUUGUCAUGCCAAUGGCACUGCCCGGUAGCUAAAUGCGGAAGAGAUAAGUGCUGAAAGCAUCUAAGCACGAAACUUGCCCCGAGAUGAGUUCUCCCUGAGACUUAGAGUCUCCUGAAGGAACGUUGAAGACGACGACGUUGAUAGGCCGGGUGUGUAAGCGCAGCGAUGCGUUGAGCUAACCGGUACUAAUGAACCGUGAGGCUUAACCUUAC
rnacentral:rRNA from 1 species